CCCUGGGAUUAGCUCAGUUGGUUAGAGCGUGGCACUAAUAGUGUGUCAAGGUUGUGGGUUCAAACCCUGUUCAGGAA